GCUCCGGUGGCACAAUCGGUUAGCGCGCCGUACUUAUAGACAGUACUCCACCCUGAUAACAGGGUUGAGGCAUGCGGAGGUUGUGAGUUCGAGCCUCACCCGGAGCA
rnacentral:tRNA from 1 species